rnacentral:rRNA from 1 species
AGGAUGAAGGUUUAAGGAUUGUAAACUCCUUUUGUUAGAGAAGAUAAUGACGGUAUCUAACGAAUAAGCACCGGCUAACUCCGUGCCAGCAGCCGCGGUAAUACGGAGGGUGCAAGCGUUACUCGGAAUCACUGGGCGUAAAGAGCGCGUAGGCGGGAUAGUCAGUCAGGUGUGAAAUCCUAUGGCUUAACCAUAGAACUGCAUUUGAAACUACUAUUCUAGAGUGUGGGAGAGGUAGGUGGAAUUCUUGGUGUAGGGGUAAAAUCCGUAGAGAUCUAGAGGAAUACUCACAGCGAAGGCGUCCUGCUGGAACAUUAC